UACGUAGGGUGCGAGCGUUAAUCGGAAUUACUGGGCGUAAAGCGUGCGCAGGCGGUUUUGUAAGACAGGCGUGAAAUCCCCGAGCUUAACUUGGGAAUGGCGCUUGUGACUGCAAAGCUAGAGUAUGUCAGAGGGGGGUAGAAUUCCACGUGUAGCAGUGAAAUGCGUAGAGAUGUGGAGGAAUACCGAUGGCGAAGGCAGCCCCCUGGGACGUCACUGACGCUCAUGCACGAAAGCGUGGGGAGCAAACAGG
rnacentral:rRNA from 1 species